rnacentral:misc_RNA from 1 species
CUUUAGACCUCCCCCCUGGGGUUGCUCCCCCAACAAGCCAGAGUCGCACCACCAAGGUACACCGAGACAGCCGCAGCGUUUGUCGACCCUACGCCGGCACGCUGGGCUUCCUGCAUCACGGCGCCUCAGAGGCCCAAACGCAGCCCGCACCACACACGCCGCACCAUGGCUCUCCCACACCAUCGCCCCCGCCCACCCUCUGUGUUAGCGCCCACAAGAACAAGUCCAAGAUGGCCAGGCGUGCAUGCCCAGUCGCACAACCAUCCCUCCUGGACCCUCUUCACCUCAUGAUGGUGGUGGACCCCCCGAGUGUGCAGCGCAACCGGACGCCGGCACGGCACCACGCCAUCCGUGCUCAUCGCACCACACUCCCCACAUUCUCCGCGGGCACGGAUGUCAUGCAGGCCACGCUACAAUUCGUCCUCUGCAAGGUGGCGCGCUGGACACUGGAGCAUGCCAGGUAGCUGGAUGAGCAUCCCCCAACACAAGGCGCACACGCGCCGGUGCGCGGCACCGCGACCAGCAUCGGCUCUCCGCUGCACGCACGUGCCUAGAGGAGCAUCGCCACCCCCGUCUUCUCCGCGUGCACAUCCAGCCCACGCGCCGCAUCGGUCCGAACGCUGCCGAGGUCAACAAAGUACCCACGACUCGGCCUGCCGAGCGCAGAGGGGUCUGCCCGCACGAAUGCGGCCCGUCAAAGGAUCGCCUCCGCUACUCCUCCAUGGCACGGCUGGAGUCAGCGUUGCUCCACGGUGCCGCCGUGUGGUCAGAGGGUGCUGGUCGAAAACUGCACGAGGGCCCUGUGCACCUUCACGCCAUAGCAGUACCAGUCAUCGUGGCUACCCCAAAAUGCGCACACAGUGGGCACACCCACUCGAAGAGGCCAAGCUCCGCACGCGCGUUGCGCAUCUCUCCCCUACCCGCUGUUGCGCAGAUGGUACAGCACAGACAGACAGCAAGUCAGGUGCGGCCGCGGUGCGCUAUAGCAAUCAUGCACGCACAGGUGCACACGGGCAAGGGGCGGCGGCGCCCUUGCGCGCCGCUGCUGCGCUGAGCGUGCAGCAGUGGUGCUCGUGCCUGACCUGCUGCGAGGACAAGCCAAUCAUCCAAGAUACGGAAGAGCAGGUGCGGCUGCUGCCACGAGCUCGCUCUCCCCCCUCAUGGGCGCUUUCAUUAGGGCCCCUACAAGGGUGGAAAGUGGCGCAUUGCGACGUGUUUGGUUCCAAAUCCUGGCGCUCGUGGUCCGUCGCGUGCGGCUCUCAUUUCAGUUUGUCUGCCGCCAUUGUGCAGUGAAGCACGGCGGCAAUGUAUGCAAGCUUGCGACAUCGGCACCGUCAGAGGAGUGGACGCCAACUGCAUGGAUCACGGACAGUGGUCUCCAGUCUCCGACGCCAGGCCGACAUCCCUCAUUGCCUGCACGGCAGGCGUCAUCGCUUGUGCCCUCGAGAAGGGCCGUAGACGCGGCCCGCGUGGAUCAAGAAAUGCAAUCCACCCAGGGCUGUCUGGCACCUAUCGAGAAGCAGGCAUACGAAGAAGGGACGAGGAAGCGCGGGAAGAACCUGUACGAUGCAUGGCGCCGAUUCGACGGCAGAUGGUUUGUCCUAGAGGACCAGGAUUGUAGCCGUAGCGCAGCAGAGGUACUACGGUACGCUGUGGUUGUGUGUACGCGUACACUUUGGCGGACUUGCUCGUGGUGGUGGGAUGGACACGUCGGCAGGAAAAAAGAGGAUCAUUGCAUGUGUGAGUUCAGAGGUGGGGCAACCGCUGCACUGUUCCACCACCACCACCACCACACUCCCUACAGCAACAGCUGUGCACACAGGCAUAC